GUUCCUGCCUUGAUGAUGAUGGACUGAACCUCUGAACCUGAAUCAUUCCACAGAAAGUCAUGUGGAGCAGAGCAUCCCAGUGAUCAACAGCUGAGCUGAGCAGAGUCAUCGGUGACCUUCUGACCCAAGGAGGACAACUUCGCAGCAGACACAGACGCAGACGCAGACGCAGACGCAGAUGCAGACGCAGACAUCAAACCUUGAUGGGACCAGCCAACAACCAUUUCCUAACCAACAAACAAAUGGGCCAUCUCUUGAAGUGAUGUCCUGAGCUGUUUUUCUGGACGUUGACCUAUGAGAGGAUGUUUGGCUGAAACAGACACGUGAGAGGACACAUUACGUUUGGAAACAGUAGCAGUAGAACCCAGCAGACACUGAGUGAUGCUCUUGCGCUGGUUCAUCUUGCAACAGUUCACUUGUGUCUUUGUAGAGAGAAGGGAGCGGAAGAGCUUCAUGUGCUACUCUGGCUGCUUCUCGCUGCUCCCGCGGGAUUGUCCUGACUUGGCAGAGCCUUGCAGGUUCUUCUGGAUGGAGCCACUGCUACAGACUCGUGUUUGACGUUUUAGCCUGGGCUGCUGAAAUCCUGACAAUGAAGAUUGAAAUAGCCCCAAAGAACUACUUCCUGACAGGUCCACAUCCUCCUUGUCCUAGUA
rnacentral:sRNA from 1 species